CGGGAUGUAGAUCAGUUGGUUAGAUUACACGUCUGGGGGGCGUGGGGCCGGUGGUUCGAGUCCACUCAUCCCGA
rnacentral:tRNA from 1 species